GAUGGAGAGGAGGAGAGAUGGAGGAAGAGGAGGAGAGAUGGAGGAAGAGGAGGAGAGAUGGAGGAAGAGGAGGAGAGAUGGAGGAAGAGGAGGAGAGAUGGAGGAAGGGGAGGAGAGAUGAAGGAAGAGGAGGAGAGAUGGAGGAAGAGGAGGAGAGAUGGCGGAUGAGGAGAGGUGGAGGAAGAGGAGGAGAGAUGGGGGAAGAGCGAUGGAGGAAGUGUUGCAGGUGUGAGGUAGCUAGCUAGUAAACAUUUUCCCACCGUGGAACAAAGUGAUGUCACCUGCCCUGACACCCGAGGCAGCGUCUGCCUCGCCCCAACCAAGGCCCUGACACCCGAGGCAGUGUCUGCCUCGCCCCAACCAAGGCCCUGACACCCGAGGCAGUGUCUGCCUCGCCCCAACCAAGGCCCUGACACCCGAGGCAGUGUCUGCCUCGCCCCAACCAAGGCCAUGGGUUGUGUCCCAAAUGGCAACCUAUUCCCUUUAUACUGCACAAAGGGCUCUGGUCAAAAGUAGUGCACUACAUAGGGAAUAGGUUGCCAUUUGGAAUGCAGCCGUUCAGUCUUCAUGACCUGUAGCCUUUGUACAUGGAGACCACUGCCACCAGGGGGAACCUUCUUUUAACAGCUCUUUUGUAGCACUACGGACUAUUAAGACUGUAACACACACUGUAACACCCACCGGCCAGCACAUGCAAAACAAUAAACAAUGCUCUUUCGGACUCCAUUGGACUAUUAAACAUGGAGACGGGUGAAGUUUCCCCUAGACACUGAUCUUGGGUCAGUUUAACAUUGUCCCCCCCCCACCACCCCCACUAAUAGUUAAGGUUAGGAUUGGGGGAGGGGGAAGCUGAUCCUAGAUCUGUACCUAUAGGGGAUUCUGGAGCAAGAACACACUGGAACACUUUAUUUGGAUCCACAGUCUGAGCAUCAAGAAAGAAAAUAACCCAAUAUAGAGGUUAAAGGUCACGUUGAUUCCUGCCACCAUAGAGAUGUUAAGAGAUCGCCAACAUUGUAUUCUGUCCCAUUAUGGUGUCUGUGAGCGCACAGACGACCAUAAUGCACAGACUGUGGCCAUCUCCAUUUUGAAGUAGUUCAUUUUUUCUUCUUCUACUCCUUCUAUGAGUUGGUAAAUAAACUGAAAGGGUGCGUACUGCCACCUGGAGGGUGUUAUUUAAACAGGCACAAAGUCAAGGUUGGCGAUUCACAGCCACCUGGAGGGUGUUAUUUAAACAGGCACAAAGCCAAGGUUGGCGAUUCACAGCCACCUGGAGGGUGUUAUUUAAACAGGCACAAAGCCAAGGUUGGUUAUUCACAGCCACCUGGAGGGUGUUAUUUAAACAGGCACAAAGCCAAGGUUGGCGAUUCACAGCCACCUGGAGGGUGUUAUUUAAACAGGCACAAAGCCAAGGUUGGUGAUUCACUGCCCCCACACCUUGUGACCUCGAUGGAAUUAUGUGAUCCUUCCUUAACCCACAGGAUGUCCUGCCCAGUUGACUACUUCAAAAUGGUGAAAGUCCUCAAUGUUACUGUCCAUGCUAAAACAGGCUUUUGGGCACACUAAAAUAGAUAGAGGACUAUCUAUCUAUCUUGAUAGGACUUAUAGGCUGUCUCCCAAAUGGGCCCUGGUCGAAAGUAGUGCACUACAUAGGGAAUAGGGUGCCAUUGGCCAUAGGGCCCUGGUCGAAAGUAGUGCACUACAUAGGGAAUAGGGUGCCAUUGGCCAUAGGGCCCUGGUCUAAAGUAGUGCACUACAUAGGGAAUAGGGUGCCAUUGGCCAUAGGGCCCUGGUCAAAAGUAGUGCACUACAUAGGGAAUAGGGUGCCAUUUGGGACCCAAACAUGGACUUACAGGUGUUGGUGUAUGUAUACUUCAUAUCUAAGAGACAAUCGUAACCCAAGACUCGUCUGGAGCUGCGUUCAACUGGACUUUUUUUCUUCCAUUUUUGUCGGAAUUGAAAAAAAUAAAUGCAAAGAGAGGAACCUUCUGUACCCUGAGGUCAUAGUUCAUCCUUUACCCUGAGGUCAUAGUUCAUCCUUUACCCUGAGGUCAUGGUUCAUCCUUUACCCUGAGGUCAUAGUUCAUCCUUUACCCUGAGGUCAUGGUUCAUCCUUUACCCUGAGGUCAUGGUUUAUCCUUUACCCUGAGGUCAUAGCUCAUCCUUUACCCUGAGGUCAUAGUUCAUCCUUUACCCUGAGGUCAUAGUUCAUCCUUUACCCUGAGGUCAUGGUUUAUCCUUUACCCUGAGGUCAUAGUUCAUCCUUUACCCUGAGGUCAUAGUUCAUUCUGUACCCUGAGGUCAUAGUUCAUCCUUUACCCUGAGGUCAUAGUUCAUUCUGUACCCUGAGGUCAUAGUUCAUCCUUUACCCUGAGGUCAUGGUUCAUCCUUUACCCUGAGGUCAUAGUUCAUCCUUUACCCUGAGGUCAUGGUCCAUCAUUUACCCUGAGGUCAUAGUUCAUCCUUUACCCUAAGGUCAUAGCUCAUCCUUUACCCUGAGGUCAUAGCUCAUCCUUUACCCUGAGGUCAUAGCUCAUCCUUUAUCCUGAGGUCAUAGCUCAACCUUUACCCUGAGGUCAUAGCUCAUCCUUUACCCUGAGGUCAUAGCUCAACCUUUAUCCUGAGGUCAUAGCUCAUCCUUUACCCUGAGAUCAUAGCUCAUCCUUUACCCUGAGGUCAUAGCUCAUCCUUUACCAUGAGGUCAUAGCUCAUCCUUUACCCUGAGGUCAUAGCUCAUCCUUUACCCUGAGGUCAUAGCUCAUCCUUUACCCUUAGGUCAUAGCUCAUCCUUUACCCUGAGGUCAUAGCUCAUCCUUUACCCUGAGGUCAUAGCUCAUCCUUUAUCCUGGGCUCAAGUUGGAAGUUGUCCCUAGACACAAAGAUCAGUUUAACGUUGGCCACUUUCCUCUAAAGCAAUGCACUGUGGGACCAGGGUUGGGGUUGGGGGGGAGAGAGUCGAUUGCAUCCCAAAUGGCAUCCGAUUUCCUAUAUACGGUCAACAGUAGUGCACUACAGAGGGAAUAGGGAGACAUUCUGGUCUAAUGUAGUGCACUACUGAGGGAAUAGGGUGCCAUUCUGGUCAACAGUAGUGCACUACAGAGGGAAUAGGGUGCCAUUCUGGUCUAAUGUAGUGCACUACAGAGGGAAUAGGGAGCCAUUCUGGUCAACAGUAGUGCACUACAGAGGGAAUAGGGAACCCUCUGGUCAACAGUAGUGCACUACAGAGGGAAUAGGGUGCCAUUCUGGUCUAAUGUAGUGCACUACAGAGGGAAUAUGGAGCUAUUCUGGUCAACAGUAGUGCACUACAGAGGGAAUAGCGAACCCUCUGGUCAACAGUAGUGCACUACAGAGGGAAUAGGGUGCCAUUCUGGUCAACAGUAGUGCACUACAGAGGGAAUAGGGAACCCUCUGGUCAACAGUAGUGCACUACAGAGGGAAUAGGGUGCCAUUCUGGUCUAAUGUAGUGCACUACAGAGAGUAGGGUGUAAUUUGGGACGCCGACGGGGUCUUCCACCACCUCUGUUGUUUUGUAAAUCUGUAUUUGGCACUUUAUCAGACGGACCCACCCUGCUGCAUAUCUGCAUUAAAUAUUUAACAAUAAAUAUGUCUGCUAAAUGUAGA
ensembl:lncRNA